UACGUAGGGGGGCAAGCGUUGUCCGGAAUCAUUGGGCGUAAAGCGCGCGUAGGCGGGUUGGUAAGUCCGCUGUGAAAGCCCGGAGCUCAACUCCGGAGGGUCGGUGGAUACUGCCAGUCUUGAAGGUGCUAGGGGGAGAUGGAAUUACCGGUGUAGCGGUGAAAUGCGUAGAUAUCGGUAGGAACACCAGUGGCGAAGGCGGUCUCCUGGGGCAUUCUUGACGCUGAGGCGCGAAAGCUGGGGGAGCGAACGGG
rnacentral:rRNA from 1 species